AACGAACGCUGGCGGCAUGCCUAACACGUGCAAGUCGAACGAAGCCUUCGGGCUUAGUGGCGCACGGGUGCGUAACGCGUGGGAAUCUGCCCUUUGGUUCGGAAUAACAGUUGGAAACGACUGCUAAUACCGGAUGAUGACGAAAGUCCAAAGAUUUAUCGCCAGAGGAUGAGCCCGCGUAGGAUUAGCUAGUUGGUGUGGUAAAGGCGCACCAAGGCGACGAUCCUUAGCUGGUCUGAGAGAAUGAUCAGCCACACUGGGCCUGAGACACGGCCCAGACUCCUACGGGAGGCAGCAGUGGGGAAUAUUGGACAAUGGUCGAAAGCCUGAUCCAGCAAUGCCGUGUGAGUGAUGAAGGCCCUAGGGUUGUAAAGCUCUUUUACCCGGGAUGAUAAUGACAGUACCGGGAGAAUAAGCCCCGGCUAACUCCGUGCCAGCAGCCGCCGUAA
rnacentral:rRNA from 1 species